rnacentral:rRNA from 1 species
AAGCUCAAAUUUGAAAUCUGGCACCUUCGGUGUCCGAGUUGUAAUUUGAAGAAGGUAACUUUGGAGUUGGCUCUUGUCUAUGUUCCUUGGAACAGGACGUCACAGAGGGUGAGAAUCCCGUGCGAUGAGAUGCCCAAUUCUAUGUAAAGUGCUUUCGAAGAGUCGAGUUGUUUGGGAAUGCAGCUCUAAGUGGGUGGUAAAUUCCAUCUAAAGCUAAAUAUUGGCGAGAGACCGAUAGCGAACAAGUACAGUGAUGGAAAGAUGAAAAGAACUUUGAAAAGAGAGUGAAAAAGUACGUGAAAUUGUUGAAAGGGAAGGGCUUGAGAUCAGACUUGGUAUUUUGCGAUCCUUUCCUUCUUGGUUGGGUUCCUCGCAGCUUACUGGGCCAGCAUCGGUUUGGAUGGUAGGAUAAUGACUAAGGAAUGUGGCUCUACUUCGGUGGAGUGUUAUAGCCUUGGUUGAUACUGCCUGUCUAGACCGAGGACUGCGUCUUUUGACUAGGAUGUUGGCAUAAUGAUCUUAAGCCACCCGUCUUGAAACACGGACCAAGGAGUCUAACGUCUAUGCGAGUGUUUGGGUGUAAAACCCGUACGCGUAAUGAAAGUGAACGUAGGUGAGAGCUCUUAAGAGUGCAUCAUCGACCGAUCCUGAUGUCUUCGGAUGGAUUUGAGUAAGAGCAUAGCUGUUGGGACCCGAAAGAUGGUGAACUAUGCCUGAAUAGGGUGAAGCCAGAGGAAACUCUGGUGGAGGCUCGUAGCGGUU